GAUAUUUAAACCCUUGUCUUGUGAAAACCCAAACAAGCUGUCAAGAUGUAAUUUCAGUUGCCAGAGAACUCCCCGUUGAUACAAAAGAAGAUGUUCUCAUUGAUGAAUGGAAAAUGUUGCAGAUGGAGAGAAACAGCCCAGCUUUUGAAGGAAGAAUUGAUAGUUUUGGGAUAAAAUUUUAAAGAAAACUAAUUUAGCGGGGGGGGGACAUCAAGAGUUGGUGAAAGUUAUCAAGACUGCAUUGUCUCUAUCACAUGGAAAUGCAGACAUUGAGAGGCAUUUUUCUGUGUCAAAAUGGGCCUUGGCUGAGGACAAAGCUUCCACUUGUG